CUACGGGGGGCUGCAGUGAGGAAUAUUGCGCAAUGGACGAAAGUCUGACGCAGCAACGCCGCGUGGGGGAUGAAGCACUAUGGUGUGUAAACCUCUGUAGACAGGGAAGAACGGCAUUGAUUCGUAAGGGUCAGUGUGUGACGGUACCUGUAAAGUAAGCUCCGGCUAACUCCGUGCCAGCAGCCGCGGUAAUACGGGGGGAGCAAGCGUUGUCCGGAAUUACUGGGCGUAAAGGGCGUGUAGGUGGGCUGGUCAGUCAGAUGUGAAAGCCCGCGGCUUAACCGCGGAACUGCAUUUGAAACUACCAGUCUUGAGUGCGAGAGAGGGUAGUGGAAUUCCCAGUGUAGCGGUGAAAUGCGUAGAUAUUGGGAAGAACACCAGUAGCGAAGGCGGCUACCUGGCUCGCAACUGACGCUAAUGCGCGAAAGCGUGGGGAGCAAACAGGAUUAGAUACCCCGGUAGUC
rnacentral:rRNA from 1 species